rnacentral:piRNA from 1 species
UGAACAAGCCAAGGUUGCCCGGUUUGCAUU